rnacentral:tRNA from 1 species
CGGGAUGUAGUGCAGCUUGGUUUAACGCGUCUGCUUUGGGAGCAGAAGAUCGCGGGUUCGAAUCCCGCCAUCCCGACCA